UGACCAAGUGGCUGAGAUAAG
rnacentral:miRNA from 9 species